GAGACAAGCAUAUGACUACUGGCAGGAUCAACCAGGUAGCAUUCCGUGUCGACUUUUGGCAUUGCAUGGACGAAUCCAAAACAACACCAAUUGUCUUUCGCACAUAGCGUGGUCCGCUUUUUUAGGGGCAAAUAGAGACCGAUGCCUCGUACCCACGGGGUACUCCAUGACCGAGAGAACGAACGUGGUGUCAUUGAUCCAACACAACCCGAGAGCAUUGAAGCAAUGGGGGUUGGAGCAUGACAUUUGCUUCGAAGUUCACCCUAAUGUCACGAACCCAAUGGGCUUGUGACUUAAGGAGAAAUGGCAUCAUUAAUCCAACGAAUUCCCACACUUUGGGUAUAGCACACAGGAAACCGAGAUCGGCCAAGAUGUUUUUCCUACUCUUGAACCAAUUAUUGAAAAGGCAUGCAAGAUACGUUUUCGCUGCGCAAGCAGGGACUCAACAUACCCAUACACACCAAGCAC
rnacentral:misc_RNA from 1 species